rfam:Aedes albopictus isolate Foshan contig77280, whole genome shotgun sequence.
UGUUCCGUGGCUUAGUUGGUUAAAGCGCCGGUCUAGCGAAUACGAAGUCAUGGGUUCGAAUCCCACCAGAACGC